CGAGCAGCACCCUGAAGAAAUAAACUUCACUUUCAUGUGAUCUGUCACAAUCCUUUUAUUUGUCCUUUUGAUCUGGUGAUUUGGUGUGAUGUUGCCUUGAAAUGCUCCUUCUUAUACCAAAAUAAUAUUCUGAUUAUCUGCUAAAUUCCUUUUGAAAUCAUAUUCUGAGAAUACUCACUGAAGCCCAUUCAUUUGGAAUAUCAUCUGUAUCAGUGUAACCAGAUUUUGUUGGAUUGCUGCUUCAUGCUAGCGCCGUGGAGGCAGGGUUUCUUUGGCACAGCAAGCUUGAGGCAGGAGACUGUGAGACUAAAGAGCUUCUAUAUUGUGGAAAGGGCCAAAGAAGUUGGUUAUUUUUGGGACAAGCUGACACAGUCGCUGUCCUUAAAUCCACUGUGAAGCUAGACAACAAAAUAGUAAAGCAGGAACACUGGGACAGGGAGUUGCAUGCCACAAUGUCACUAGAACCUACAGUAGCAGUUGAAAGGGCUUUGUUUGGUUUUGGUAAUUGAGUGAUAACUUAGGUGGACUAAGAAGUGUUUAUGUUGAGAUACACAGGAGAUUAGUCCACACAAAGACACUAGUAUGAGCAACAUGUGCCAUG